rnacentral:rRNA from 1 species
UACAGAGGUCUCAAGCGUUUGUUCGGAUUCAUUGGGCGUAAAGGGUGUGUAGGUGGCGCCGUAAGUCGGGUGUGAAAUUUCGGAGCUUAACUCCGAAACUGCAUUCGAUACUGCGGUGCUUGAGGACUGGAGAGGAGACUGGAAUUCAUGGUGUAGCGGUGAAAUGCGUAGAUAUCGUAAGGAAGACCAGUGGCGAAGGCGGGUCUCUGGACAGUUCCUGACGCUGAGGCACGAAGGUCAGGGGAGCAAACGGG